rnacentral:rRNA from 1 species
GUAGCAAUAUCUGUCUAGUGGCGAACGGGUGCGUAACACGUGGGCAACAUGCCUGAAAGCGCGGGAUAGCCCGGGGAAACUCGGAUUAAUACCGCAUGUGACAACGGGGUGGAUUCACCCUGUUUUCAAAGGUGGGGACCGCAAGGCCUGCCGCUUUCAGAUUGGCCCGCGGCCUAUCAGCUAGUUGGCGAGGUAAAAGCUCACCAAGGCGACGACGGGUAGCUGGUCUGAGAGGACGACCAGCCACACUGGAACUGAGACACGGUCCAGACACCUACGGGUGGCAGCAGUCGAGAAUCUUUCACAAUGGGGGAAACCCUGAUGGAGCGACGCCGCGUGGAGGAUGAAGGUCUUCGGAUUGUAAACUCCUGUCAUGAAAGAACAAGCAAUGCGGGUGAACAGCCCGCAACGUUGAUAGUAUUUCAAGAGGAAGGGACGGCUAACUUCGUGCCAGCAGCCGCGGUAAUACGAAGGUCCCAAGCGUUGUUCGGAAUCACUGGGCGUAAAGAGUGCGUAGGCGGCGCGGAAAGUCAGAUGUGAAAUCCCGGGGCUCAACCUCGGAACGGCAUCCGAUACUCCCGCGCUUGAGGACUGGAGGGGAGUCUGGAAUUCACGGUGUAGCAGUGAAAUGCGUAGAUAUCGUGAGGAACACUAGUGGCGAAGGCGAGACUCUGGACAGUUCCUGACGCUGAGGCACGAAGGCCAGGGGAGCGAAGGGGAUUAGAUACCCCCGUAGUCCUGGCAGUAAACGGUGCUCGCUUGGUAUGCGCGGUUUCGACCCCGUGCGUGCCGGAGCUAACGCGUUAAGCGAGCCGCCUGGGAAGUACGGUCGCAAGAUUAAAACUCAAAGAAAUUGACGGGGACCCGCACAAGCGGUGGAGUAUGUGGCUUAAUUCGAUGCAACGCG